rnacentral:rRNA from 1 species
AUGGGCGAUGAUAGGCGCCGGCGCACCGGCCCAUUGGCCGGUCAGCCGCGAGCCGUACGAUUCUGCCCCUGUCAGCCGUCUGAUCCUGCCCGGCCCAUCCCCUUCUUUCCCACCGCGCACGAGAACCGACAAAAAAAAACACAAGCACAUGGCAGUCGCACCUCGCCACCACGUCACGUUGCUUCUGUCCGCCAUCCCCCGUUUGCCCUCGUCGUCAACGGGUUGCUGCCGUGCUCCCCGUCGACGCUCGCCGUCAAAGUUCAAAAAAAUAAUAAUAAACUACCCGCAUCACCAUCAAGUUGGAUCCUUGAAAAAAAAUGA